AUUUUUUGUGGUUCAUAACCAUAUGACGAUUGGGUUUUCACGCUAUUUUUGUGUGAUAUUCCUCUCUCAAACUUUGUUACACUGUUAGUACAUAUUCUUCUGACA